rnacentral:lncRNA from 1 species
AUGUUGUUUAUAUACCUGUUCUUCUAGUUGACACACAUACACAAACAAGAAGCAACUUAUAAACAGGAUCAUUAAUGGGAAAGAAAAAGUGGAAAACUGGUUAAAUGCCACAGUCAAGUAAAAUACUUAGCAAAGAUUGAACGCUCAUAAAUUGGGUGAUAGGAAAUGGAGGAGAGGAAGAAGAAGGGGAGGUCCUUAAGCUAUAUUUAUUGAGUGAGUAGGUUUUAGGGAAGGAGACAAGCUGUCAUUACAUAGAAGGCAGGAGUGUCUUUGAGAUAA